UCAAAGGCUGCAACCUCCUAUAGACUGGAGAGGGAGCUUCAAUGUAUUAUGCAUUUCAUGUCUGAUGUAUUGGAACCACUGGAUUUGGAUAAACAUGGCUCCUAUGGCUAGGGCCAGAAUUAGUGGGUAGCAAGCAGAGCAAUAGCCUGGGGCCUCAUGCAGCUAAGUUACAUCAUAUCUUCAGAGUCACUAGGGGAAGAGACUUUAAAGUGGCCUGGCCGGAGGGCUAAGUCACAGGAAGAGGUGGACCACCGCAGUGCCAGAACAACUGUGGGCAGGAGGUACCUGACAGGGAGAAAGCUGCUACUACAUGCCCAGUCACCAGCAAGUGCCAACAGUGAGUCAACCCCUUCAUAAAGGGUAAAAGAUUACCAUAAUUUAUUGAAUAUGUUCAUUUUUAAAACAAACAUAGAACAUCCUAGAAUCCAGCGAUUGUAAUAAUGUCUACUGCCAUCUACUGCAUUGUCCUUGGUCUGCUUGUGCAACUCCCAUUAACAUCAAACUAAGUUUCAUUACAUAUCAGGUGAAGAAUAGUGCCCUAAGAAUGUCCUUUAUCACUUCUUGGAAAAAUAUGGAAUGAAACUGAUGAAUUUGUUGAAGCAAUAAUUCUUCCUGCUGAUUCCCACAUUCUUGCAUCUGAAGAACUAAAGUCUUGAAGAUUGCUGAAGAAUGACAAUGUUUUGUUUCUCAUUAGCAUCAUCUAUUAUCUUUGCAACAGCACUGGAACCAGAGGAGAGUGUAGAAACAUGUAGACUAGGAUAUCAUAAACGAACUAUGACAUUGUUUAGGAAGGAAAGAGAUGCAUGAUCUACUGUAUGAGUCAAGAAAUAUAACAUUGUGGCACAGCGCUUUUCACUUUUGUUGGAAAAUGAAUCUCCACAGAGGGAAAUUGUCAUGUCUGAAGAUUUUCAAAGUCUUGUUAGCACUAAUUCUUCAAACAAACUUCAGUUCGUUUUGAAAUGACCUGCUAAUUUCUCAUCCUUGAACGGGAGGUGCUCCAGUCUACCACUAUACUUGGAAGGUCUUCAAGUAGAUUUUGAUAAUCAAAUCAGACAUGCGCUUUGACCUUUAUUGCAGCUGUUCUAAUUGUAUAGGCUGUCAAUCCUGUUAUUUGACACACUGAUUACAGGGGAUCAAAAUUUCACAUGGGAGACAGAAAGAUUAGGUCUACUUUCAAUUAAAAACCCAUGGCUGGCACGUGCCAACUGACUCAGGCUCACAGGGCUCGGGCUAAGGGGCUGUUUAACUGCAGUGUAGAUGCUUGGCCUGGAGCCAGGGCUCUAGGACCUUGCAAAGUGGGAGGAUCCCAGAGCUCAGGCUACAGCCUGAGCCCAAACGUCUACACCACAAUUAAUCAGCAUAUUGGACCGAGCCUUGUGAGCCCAACACAGCUGGCACGGGACAGCCACCGGCUGUUAAUUGCAGUGUAGACAUACCCUAACUCCUUAGCCAUGUUCAUUAAUGAAAGGGCCAUCUUAAAAGUGCCUUUUAGUCCUUUGCUGGGGCUGUCUGGCUGUUCAGUUAAGUGUGAGUGCCCUCCCUGAACUUCUGUGGAUGCUAUUUUGGAGCCCCCUACCGGAACUAACACUAUCCACGCAAUGGUAAGGAAGCAGUUGCCCCCUCAUGACUCUUUCAUCCACAAGACAGAAGUACUAAUCUGUUAAGUUAUUAGUCAUGAGCGACACAUGUCAUUGACAUGAGGGUAAACUUAUUAUAAUGUAUUUCUUUCCAUAUUUGUUCUGUGUGGGGCAGUGCUUUAGCAGUCAGCCGUCAUUAUUGGACAGUAUCUGUACAACAGUGUUUUGAACAAAUUCUACUAAUGAUAAAACUUCCCAAACAGGUGGUAACUCUAGGCCAUUACUGUUAUAGAUGCUUGUCCCCAUUUUUUGUUUAAUUUAUGUUCUUCACUACCACCCUAUCUCCACCACACUAGUGUUUGGUUUCACCAUUAACAGAAUCAAAAGAGGCUUUUUAGUAUUGAAACUGGUUGUAUAAAAUAUUUGAACUCCACAACCCUCAAAGGGUUUUACUGAAUGUUUAGUAACAAGUGGAAGGAAACUGAACUUUUUUUUUUCAUAAUAGGAAACAUUGCUGCAAGUCUUUUAAAAAUUAAACAAGUGUCAUUAGACAAAGGAAGUUAAUGAGGUUUGCUAAUGUCAUGUUAUUGGAAGAGUUGUGUAUUUUUCUGAGAUUGUUUCCAAAAAGACAAAACCGUUUCCCUGUACAAAGCUCAAGGAAACAGGUUUUUGGACUGGGAAUCUAGAAUGUAUA